rfam:Homo sapiens chromosome 4, GRCh38 reference primary assembly.
GCCGGGCGUGAUGGCUCACGCCUGUAAUCCCAGAACUUUGGGAGGCCGAGGUGGGUGAAUCUCUUGAGGUCAGGAGUUUGAGACCAGCCUGGCCAACAUGGUGAAAUCCCAUCUCUA